rnacentral:rRNA from 1 species
UACGUAGGUGGCAAGCGUUGUCCGGAAUCACUGGGCUUAAAGCGCGUGUAGGCGGGACGGCACGUCGGUCGCUGAAAUCCCCCGGCUUAACCGGGGAACUGGCGUCGAUACGACCGCCCUGGAGGGGCGUAGGGGGACCUGGAACUUCCGGUGGAGCGGUGAAAUGCGUUGAGAUCGGAAGGAACGCCCGUGGCGAAAGCGAGGUCCUGGACGCCUACUGACGCUGAGACGCGAAAGCCAGGGGAGCGAACGGG